GCCCCCAUGGUGUAGUCCGGUCAAUCAUUUUGCCUUUUCGAGGCAAGGACACGGGUUCGAAUCCCGUUGGGGGCG
rnacentral:tRNA from 1 species